rnacentral:rRNA from 15 species
CACCAGGUUGAUUCUGCCUGACGUGGAUGCUAGUUUGCGAGACUAAGCCAUGCAUGCUUGCGAAGUGCGUUGUGCGCGGAGCGGCAGACGGCUCAGUAAUACUGCGAUGAUUUGUUCGGGGAGGCUGUGUAGCCGCGGGAAACUGUGGGUAGGCGGCUGGGCUGCACUGGGUUGCUGGGGCGGUGUCUGAGUAAGUUGCAGACCUAUUAGCUGGUAGCUAGGGUAAUGGCCUAGCUAGGCGAUGAUGGGAGACGGGGAAUUUGGGUUUGGUUCCGGAGAGGGAGCCUGAGAGAUGGCUACUACGUCCAAGGAUGGCAGCAGGCGCGGAACUUGCCGAAUCCUUUUGGGAGGCAGUUAGCAAGCGUUGUUUUUGUUUGGAAUUGCAAAGAGAUUCCUUGAGAUUGGAGGGCAAGUCGGGUGCCAGCAGCCGCGGUAAUACCUGCUCCAAGAGUGUCUAUGGUGGAUGCUGCAGUUAAAAGGNUCGUAGUUGUGUUGCUUGCACGCAUGUUUUGUGUGCCUGUGUGUGUGGCGGGCUGUGGAUGUGUGCGGCGAUGUGCGCAACAGACGGGGGGCACUGGAUAGUUGGGCGAGAGGUGAAAUGCGACGACCCUGACUGGACAGACGGAGGCGAAGGCGGUGCUCUUGGAUGGAUGUGAGGAUCAAGAACGAAGGCUGGAGGAUCGAAAUCGAUUAGAUACCGUUUUAGUUCCAGCAGUAAACGAUGCCGACUGGAUGGUGUGUGUUGCACUGUGCGCGAGAAAUCUGUGAGUGUGUGGGCUCUGGGGAUAGUAUGAUCGCAAGAGGGAAACUUAAAGAGAUUGACGGAAGGACACCACCAGGAGUGGAGUGUGCGGCUUAAUUUGACUCAACGCGGGACAACUUACCAAUGCCGAGAUGUGUUUGAGAGCGGAGCGCGAGACACGUGGCGGUGGUGCAUGGCCGUUUGAAAUGGAUGGCGUGAGCUGAGGAUUAAUUUCCGGAAGAUGUGAGACCCUUUGACUGCGUUUGUGGAGAGCGAGGAGGGGAGGGAACACAACAGGUCCGUUAUGCCCUGAGAUGUGUUGGGCUGCACGCGCACUACGAUAUUCUGCGGUUGCGGAGAUGUGCGGGAUUGAUGCUUGUGAAUGUGUCAUGAACGUGGAAUUCCUAGUAAGGGCUGUUCAUUAGGCUGUCUUGAAUGGGUCCCUGUCCUUUGUACACACCGCCCGUCGCUAUCUAAGAUGGUGUUUUGGACGAAGACUGCGAGGUCUGAGUUCUGGAUACUAGAUAAGAUAUAAGUCGUAACAUGGCUGCUGUUGGAGAACCAGCUGCAGGAUCAGUG